AACCUAGCACACCUGCGGUGUGUACCUGCGGAAGGAUCAUUACUGAGUUAGGGUCUUUUUGGCCCGACCUCCAACCCUUUGUUUAUUAUACCAUGUUGCUUUGGCGGGCCUGCCUUUCGGGGCUGCCGGGGGCCUCGCCGCCCCUGACUCGUGCCUGCCAGGAGCCUUCAUAAAUUCAGUGUUCAACGGUGCUGUCUGAGUCCCAGUAUCAAAAUAUCAAAAACUUUCAGCAACGGAUCU
rnacentral:misc_RNA from 1 species